UCUGAUCGUGGCUGAAUUAGACUAGAGAAGCUCGACAGCGCCCGUUACCGAUAGCCGUGACCCUUUGAAGCUUUUCAUGGAAAACACAAGAAACGAAUGAAAACUAAAAGAAUGAGUAAGAUCGUAUGUGUCAUUUAUUGACGAAACCUGGAGCUGCUGUUCUUCAUUGUACCUCUAUAAGUGAACCGAUUUUUUCGCCUUUUACGUCUGGUUUUUAUGCCUUCGGAACAACUUCACGCGGCUCACCCUUAGCAUGAUUACGCGCCGAUUCGAACCUGGACCACCAAAUUCACCAUGCAAACUCGUCAACCACUGCGCUAUCAUAACGAGUAAUUGUUGUUGCUUCAGAAGCCCCAGAAUUCUGUGGCUUCUAGCCUCCAUUAGAGUCACUCAGCCUUUGAUUACCCGCUCGUCCAUCUUUGGCAUCUCCCUCAAUUAUAAAUCGCCUGAGGCGCACAGUUUAGUAUUUUCGAAACGUCCUCGCCCCGCCUGCUAGCGUUUCUCCAUCGAACUCAUACACGUACGGGGGGCAAUCAAAUUCAAUGAUCAGCGAUGUCCAGUGACGUGCCCUCGUCUGUCUUUCAACAAGUGCACCAUUCACGACUCCAACAUACGUAUACUUAAUGACGGUAACAACAAAAGUUAUGAAAAAGAAAUAUAUGAGAAAAGUAUCCUUCUCACAAUAGUUUUUCUUUUAAUGUUAUUUAUGACAAUGGGUAAUAUAUGUACGUUCGGACAGAUUGUCCUUGAAAAAAAUCCUAUGUGGAAAUCCAUAUUGUGGAAAAAUUCAAUAGUCAAUCUCUUUAGUGUGUGCUUAACAAACUAGUUUGUCUACUCGUAUGAGUGCUUUUGGAAGGACUCCGAGAACAUUGAAAUAUUUUCAUGACUAUACCAUAUAUCUGUUUUCAAGCUCUAUGAGAUCCUACAGCGAGGCCUUACGUAGGGAGGCUCUGCAUCAGGUAAUCAAUGUUCAGGGUCCAUGCGAACCCUAGCCAAUAUGAAGCAAAGUACAACGCGUACGAGUCUUGAUUAUUAAAUUUGUCUUUCUAUGGCGUUUGUCCCUUUCCGGUGGUGGCGUCGAGUCGUGAAUUGCUCAACGUCUCCCCGCAACGAGACAGCAGUGCUUCGAAAAGAUGCCACCGCUUGAACGGAUAGGUUUCCCACAUUCGAAACACUUACUUUUGAUUAACGUUUAUUUAUAGUGAUAUCGAAAGAUACUUCUUUAUAUUUUCUACUCAGUCUUCUUAAUCUUGAGAUAUUACGAAUGAUGGAAACAUAUAUUGCGUAUGUGUUACAAAUAAAAAGGAACACGUGAAAAUACGUCGAGACGUAACCAGAAAUUCAUGAAGGUGACCAAGAGGUGCGAAUUCCCAUGUUCAGGAAACAGGGCUUUCAAAUGUUCGUCAUGGUCUUAUGCGAAAAGCUUCGAUACGAUGAUGGCCUAAACAUGUGACCACUCCAUCCAAAUUGUCAUGACCCAUAGUAACCACAAAUCAGGAAUACGUGCUAGUGUCAUUCAGCCUAUAACAAAUGCGAAUAAAAAUUUAAUUUAAAGGUCCUUUAGAUGGUAUUAUGUAAAUUUCUUCUAUCCUAAAUGAAAUCGUAUCCCUUACAAUAUCGUUACCUCUUAAAUAACCUAGUGUUUACGACUAAGUGGAGCUCGAUUCACCUGAAAUGGAUCACAUGGACAAGCUUUAUGACAAGCGCUGCCUACAAAUAUACUUAGGUACGAUCUACAUCGAUAUAGAAUCUU